rnacentral:lncRNA from 1 species
CCCACACCAGUCAGCCCAUAUUAGACUAAUUAAGAAACCUACUAUCUCUCCUUAGACCAAACCCCGUAAAACGAUAAAUGUUAAACGGUAAAUUACAAUAUCAAUUUAUGUAGUCCACAAUUACAAAAACUCUUACAUGAUGGCCCCAAAGCGACAACCCGUCGAACAACCCUCCACAGGCAACUCCCACUGAAGCUUUCGUCUCCAUCACAUUGAAGGGUUGAGCUCCGUUCGCAACCAAAAUGGGGCUAAGCAUCGCCAGGACCAAGAGAAUGUGGAGAGCCCUUGUUGUGCUCCUCAUGUUCGAUGAAAUUACUGACGGAGACAAGCAAAAGCAAAUUUUUACCGACAGAGA